rnacentral:rRNA from 1 species
GUAGCAAAAUCAUUUGUUCAUUAAUUGUGAACGGGUAUGAAGGGUUUAACAAGUAAUUAAAUUUUAGUUGCAAAAAAUGAAUUUUUAAUUUAAGUGAGAAUACUUAAAUGACUAAAAGGGACGAUAAGACCCUAAAAUCUUUAUUAGUAGCCCGAUUUCGGGAGUAAAGAUUAAAUAGAGAUAGGGGGUUAAUUUCGCUGGGGCAGUGAUUUUGGUUAAACUAAAAGUUAGCUAAACCAUAUAAAGGGUUGAGAGGUCCUUUAUAUUAGGAUAAAUAGAAAAAGUUACUUUAGGGAUAACAGCGUUAUUUCCUUGGACAGAUCUUAUAAAUAAGGAAGAUUGCGACCUCGAUGUUGAAUUAAAAUUUCUCUGUGAGGCAUAAGGCACAGUAGAAGGUUUGUUCAACCUUUAAAAUUUU